rnacentral:rRNA from 1 species
UAGGGAAUCUUCCACAAUGGACGAAAGUCUGAUGGAGCAACGCCGCGUGAGUGAAGAAGGGUUUCGGCUCGUAAAACUCUGUUGUUAAAGAAGAACAUAUCUGAGAGUAACUGUUCAGGUAUUGACGGUAUUUAACCAGAAUGCCACGGCUAACUACGUGCCCG